GGAGAGAUGGCCGAGUGGCUGAAGGCACGCGCCUGGAGAGCGCGUGUACCCGAAAGGGUACCGUGGGUUCGAAUCCCACUCUCUCCGCCA
rnacentral:tRNA from 1 species